GUGUCAGCAGCCGCGGUAAAACGUAGGAGGCGAGCGUUAUCCGGAUUUACUGGGUGUAAAGCGCGUGCAGGCGGUUUGCUAAGUUGGGUGUGAAAGCUCCUGGCUCAACUGGGAGAGGUCGCUCAAGACUGGCAGACUGGAGAGCAGUAGAGGAAGGUGGAAUUCCGGGUGUAGUGGUGAAAUGCGUAGAUAUCCGGAGGAACACCAGUGGCGAAAGCGGCCUUCUGGACUGCAUCUGACGCUCAGACGCGAAAGCUAGGGUAGCAAACGGGAUUAGAAACCCCUGUAGUCC
rnacentral:rRNA from 1 species